rnacentral:snoRNA from 1 species
CGUGACGUCAGAGCACAGAGGAAGCGGCUAUUUCUACACUCAGUGCUCAGAACAGUGGGCACUAAGAAUGGUUUGUAGCUGGGCAGU